GUGAGGAAUAUUGGUCAAUGGGCGGGAGCCUGAACCAGCCAAGUCGCGUGAAGGAAGAAGGAUCUAUGGUUCGUAAACUUCUUUUGCAGGGGAAUAAAGUGCAGGACGUGUCCUGUUUUGUAUGUACCCUGAGAAUAAGGAUCGGCUAACUCCGUGCCAGCAGCCGCGGUAAUACGGAGGAUCCGAGCGUUAUCCGGAUUUAUUGGGUUUAAAGGGUGCGUAGGUGGUUUGAUAAGUCAGCGGUGAAAGUUUGCAGCUUAACUGUAAAAAUGCCGUUGAAACUGUCGGACUUGAGUGUAAAUGAGGUAGGUGGAAUGCGUGGUGUAGCGGUGAAAUGCAUAGAUAUCACGCAGAACUCCGAUUGCGAAGGCAGCUUACUAAGCUACAACUGACACUGAAGCACGAAAGCGUGGGGAUCAAACAGGAUUAGAUACCCUGGUAGUCC
rnacentral:rRNA from 1 species